rnacentral:rRNA from 1 species
CAUGCAAGUCGAGGGGAAACGACAUCGAAAGCUUGCUUUUGAUGGGUGUCGACCGGCGCACGGGUGAGUAACGCGUAUCCAACCUGCCCACCACAUGGGGAUAACCUUGCGAAAGUAAGACUAAUACCCAAUGAUAUCUCUAGAAGACAUCUGAAAGAGAUUAAAGAUUUAUCGGUGAUGGAUGGGGAUGCGUCUGAUUAGCUUGUUGGCGGGGUAACGGCCCACCAAGGCAACGAUCAGUAGGGGUUCUGAGAGGAAGGUCCCCCACAUUGGAACUGAGACACGGUCCAAACUCCUACGGGAGGCAGCAGUGAGGAAUAUUGGUCAAUGGACGAGAGUCUGAACCAGCCAAGUAGCGUGCAGGAAGACGGCCCUAUGGGUUGUAAACUGCUUUUAUAAGGGAAUAAAGUGAGUCUCGUGAGACUUUUUGCAUGUACCUUAUGAAUAAGGACCGGCUAAUUCCGUGCCAGCAGCCGCGGUAAUACGGAAGGUCCGGGCGUUAUCCGGAUUUAUUGGGUUUAAAGGGAGCGUAGGCCGGAGAUUAAGCGUGUUGUGAAAUGUAGACGCUCAACGUCUGCACUGCAGCGCGAACUGGUCUUCUUGAGUACGCACAACGUGGGCGGAAUUCGUGGUGUAGCGGUGAAAUGCUUAGAUAUCACGAA